CCUACGGGUGGCAGCAGUGGGGAAUAUUGGACAAUGGGGGAAACCCUGAUCCAGCGACGCCGCGUGAGUGAAGAAGUAUUUCGGUAUGUAAAGCUCUAUCAGCAGGAAAGAAAAUGACGGUACCUGACUAAGAAGCACCGGCUAACUACGUGCCAGCAGCCGCGGUAAUACGUAGGGGGCAAGCGUUAUCCGGAUUUACUGGGUGUAAAGGGAGCGUAGACGGCAGCGCAAGUCUGGAGGGAAAUGCCGGGGCCCAACCCCGGAACUGCUCUGGAAACUGUGAAGCUGGAGUGCAGGAGAGGUAAGCGGAAUUCCUGGUGUAGCGGUGAAAUGCGUAGAUAUCAGGAGGAACACCGGCGGCGAAGGCGGCUUACUGGACUGUAACUGACGUUGAGGCUCGAAGGCGUGGGGAGCAAACAGGAUUAGAUACCCCUGUAGUC
rnacentral:rRNA from 1 species